GGUGAGCGCUCUACCAUUGAACUACAUCUCGCCCCUGAUAAACGCAAACAUUUGUUAUCUGAUAAAACUGCAGCCAGUCCAGCCGUUGGCGGACGUUUGUGAAACAAUUCGUGUACUGAACGGAGAUUGGUAUAACAUGUAUAUGGUUAAUGAGAAGGAAAAACAACACGGUAACUCAGUUCGUUAGAUUUGAAAAAAAAAUCUGCUGAAACAUAUUUCUUUCUAAUGAUGAUGGAUUAUGGGAAAACGACUGGUGGCAUUUGUCUUUCUUAUUCGACUACAAAUUAAUCUCUUAAUUAGAGAAAGUUUCCAUCAUCUGUGAAUCUGUUCAAGAUGGCUACCUCGAGUAAUCAACCAACUUGGCCAUCGGCAGAUACAUAUGCCAUGCACUCGAGCACACUUGACCAGCAAGUGAAAACACCGACUCGAUGCUGCAGGCAGUCACGUUCUUGUCAUUAUUCUGCGUGGUUGAAAGGAAAGAAAAGGAAUAUUACUUUAGCACAAUUUUUGACCAAGGCUAUUUAGUGUGUAGCAGACAAAAGGACGGACGGACAGAAAUUCAGGAGAAGCAGUUGCACGUAGACCACUCCCCCUGGAAACAAUCCUGGAUCCGCACCUGAAGUUUACUAUCCAUUUGCAACAGCAAUUGUCCCACCGAUGGUAGUUUACAUUUUGUUUUAUACUCCUGUUGCAGAGAACAGCAUGGACUAUUUUGGUAUCACUAGUGGGAUACCAAUUUGAUGAUAUCGGAUUGGCUGCUCCACGUUGCAGACCCGGUUACUACCCUUUGACGUAUAAAUUAUAUUGAAACUGAUUGCUCUGUGACGUACGAUUAAAUAUAAAUCUCUCGUAUAAUAUAAAUUGAAAAUGACUGUUCUGUGACGUAGAUCUGUAAGUUAACCAGCAAACACAAGCGCCGUACGUACAUAUUAGCUGGAAAAGACGUUUAAAUUUAUUUAUGAGGAUAUUUAACAAAUAAAAUAUUACAGUCGUUGUUUCAAAGCGUAUCCGACUCGCUUUCGCUCGUUAGAUACGUUUCUAAACAACUCGAGGUAAGAUCAAUGUUAUCUAACGGACGCUCUUGUAGUAUUCUUUAUUUAUUACCUACAUGGAUUACAAUAAAUGGUCACAUAAAUAUCGUAUUUUCCCAAGCUAUCUUUACGACAAGGGUCAUAAAAAUACACUGAAUAUUGCUGUGGCACACUUUUGACGUAACUAUAGCAGCGGCAUGCUUGCGGCAGUUGCAAUUGGUAAAACCGACAUCAUCCAGUGUCACUGUAAAUUGUAAUUGACCUCGUUGAAUGUUUUUAACAUCGAUUUGUGAAAAUAUUACAAUCAUACUUAACGUCUGUUAUAAACCAUAGUUUGUUGAUAAUAAAUAAAUUAUAACAUUUG